rnacentral:rRNA from 1 species
CAGCCGCCGCGGUAAUACGUAGGGUGCGAGCGUUAAUCGGAAUUACUGGGCGUAAAGCGUGCGCAGGCGGCUUUGCAAGACAGAUGUGAAAUCCCCGGGCUCAACCUGGGAACUGCAUUUGUGACUGCAAGGCUAGAGUGCGGCAGAGGGAGGUGGAAUUCCGCGUGUAGCAGUGAAAUGCGUAGAUAUGCGGAGGAACACCGAUGGCGAAGGCAGCCCCCUGGGCCAAUACUGACGCUCAUGCACGAAAGCGUGGGGAGCAAACAGGAUUAGAUACCCCAGUAGUCCCUGUCUCUUAUAC